rnacentral:lncRNA from 1 species
GAGGACAGAGCUGACAGGGCCCUGACCCGCGGCCCUGUGGACUCGGAGACAACAGAUGUGUUGUCCGAAGCCUCAAGGCCCGCCUCCCGACCGCAUGUGCACAUGCGCGAGUGCCGGCCCGCACUGCCCGCCGCUGACCCAGGCCGUCCCUGUCCCAGGCCCUGCUGACCCCCCCAGUGCCUGGGCUUUUGGUGACAGGAAGGUGCCACCAAGUACCACGCACACAUCGUCUGCCUAAUGUCUUCCCGUAAAUACACGUACUCUUGUAAAGAAGAAAAAGGUGGUAAAUGUGCUGUGAAAGAAAUUUUUAUAUCAAAACCAUGUUUAUAAAAUCAGACCUAAUGGAAAUUAAUGUUAAAAGUAAAUCUGUGAGCAUCAGAGUUUUUUAAAGCUGGUGUUCCUUUGGGGCGUGGUGGCACAUGCCUGUAAUCCCAGCACUCGGGAGGCUGAGGCAGGAGGAUUGCUGUGAAUUCCAGGCCAGCCUGGGCUACAUAGUGAGUUCAAGGCCAGACUGAACUACAUAGCAAGACUCUGUCUCAAACAAACAAAACAAAAUGAAAGGAAGAAAGUAGUGACUCAGGAGAGUGUGUGGGCAGAGGGAGAUGGGAGAGCGAGCAGAAAGUUGCCCCAGGCAGUGACUUCUGCCCUCGAACCAGGGCUGUCUUACUUCCUGCAGGUCUUCUCGGGUGUCCACCCUGCCUUAAGGAGAUUCUGCCAACAGCAACUCCUGCGCCACACCUGAGUUCACACUAGAUCCCCUCUGUGGAGUCAGGACGCUGGGCAGGGAGUGUCAGAAAAUCUAACUAGAGCCAGGCAUCUAGUGAUGCUAGCACUCGGCAGGCUGAGGCAGGAGGAUCUCUGCCAGUUAGCCUGGGCUACAUAGCAAGACCCUGUCUGAAACAGACAAGCAGACAAACAAAAAGGAAGAAAAUCCAACAAGAACUGCAUCAGAGAAUGCAUGAGGAAUUGGGAGCGGGACAUCCCCUCACCCGAGGCGCCAGAGCCUUGCUGUCCACUGCACGCCUGAGUCUCAUCAGCCCCAUCUUGGUGGGGACAAGCCAAGCCGUUGAUGAGCCCUCCUGUCAGGAGCCCUUGAGUUGCGAGCGGGGAUGAAGGGGCCUGCUUUGAUAACUGUUUCUUUCUCUAAGAUAAUUCUUCUAGCUUUCAAAUGUCUCCACAACACCUCUCGCUCUUGGCCACUUUGUCUGCAGUGGCAGAAGCCCAGAGCAGCCGGCUUGUCCUGAAAGGAAGAAGCUCAGUAGUUUGCACACCACAGACUCUGCAGGAACUGUUUAAGAAGAAGGAGAGAAAAGAAAAAACACAAAAGAGAAUAAAAGUUCUUUCUGUUUUAACGUGGGACAACUUUGCAAAUCUGUUGUGAAGUGCAAGAAGCCUAGUGUGGGUUCCUGCGCUACACUCAGUGCGUGUGUGGGGGGUUGCCGCGGUGGAGCUGAGCUUGGUAGUGCAUGCCCCCCGCCCCAGGUCCGCCCCCCGCCCC